UAUUUAGUUAAUUCUAUUAGUAGUUAUAUAUUUAUUUUAAAAAUUAAGCUAUAUAUAUUUAAAUUUAAGUAAUUAAACCGCGAAAUUGCGAAUAGUUUAUUAAAUUAAUUAUAGUUUAUUUAAUAGUACUUUACUAUAUAGAUAACCGUAGUAAUUCUAGAGCUAAUAUAUAUUAAAAACCCUAAUUUCGGAAGGGGUAUAUUUAUUAAAUUAAAAACUAAUGCCCUUCGGGGCUAACUAGUAAUUUAUAAUAACUUCUCGAAUUAUAUAGCCUUACGCUAGCGAUAAUUCAUUUAAAUUUCUACCCUAUUAACUUUCGACGGCUAGGUUUUAGUUAACUAUAGUAAUAACGGGUAAUAGAGGAUUAGGGCUCGACCCUGGAGAAGGAGUUUGAGAAACGGCUACUAUAUUUAAGGAAGGUAGUAAAUAUAUAAAUUAUUUAAUCCCGAUACGGGGAGGUAGUAAUAAUAAAUACUAAUAUAAGGCUCUUUUAGGUCUUAUAAUUAGAAUAAAUAUAAUUUAAAUCCCUUAACGAAGAAUAAUUAGAGGGCAAGUCUAGUACCAGCAGCCGCAGUAAUUCUAGCUUUAAUAAUGUAUAUUAAAAUUAUUAAAAUUAAAAAGCUCGUAAUUAAACCUUAAACUCGGUCUGUCGGUCCGCCUUAUUACGUAUAUUAACUAGGUUGGGCCUUUUUUCCUAAAGAACUGCAUACUCUUUACUAGGUAUAUUAAGGAAUUAGGACUUUUACUAUAAAUAAAUUAGAUCGCUUAAAGAAGGCCUAUACUCGAAUAUACUAAUAUAGAAUAAUAGAAUAGGAUGUGUAAUUCUAUUUUAUUAGUUUCUAAGACCGCUAUAAUAAUUAAUAGGGAUAGUUGGGGGUAUUAAUAUUCAAUUAUUAGAAGUAAAAUUCUUAGAUUUAUUAAAGACUAAUUAUUAUAAAAGUAUUUACUAAGGAUGUUUUUAUUAAUUAGGAACGAAAGUUAGGGGAUCGAAGACAAUUAAAUACCGUUGUAGUCUUAAUUAUAAAUUAUACUAAUUAGAAAUUGGAUAAUAUUAUUUUUUAAUCCGUUCGGCACUUUACAAUAAAUUAAAAUAUUUAGACUCUUAGGGGAAUAUAGUUGUAAGGUUGAAACUUAAAAAAAUUAAUAAAAGGGUACUACUAGGGGUAGAGCCUGCGGUUUAAUUUGAUUUAAUAUAAGGAAACUUACUAAGUUUAAAUAUAAUAAAAAUUAAUAAAUUGAAAACUCUUUUUUAAUUUCGUAGGUAGUAGUAUAUAACCGUUCUUAGUUAAUAGAGUAAUUUAUUUACUUAAUUAUAAUAACGAACAAGACUUUAAUUUAUUAAAUAGCCUGUAUUACUUUAGUAAUAUACUAACUUCUUAAAAAGACUAUCGGCUUAAAUUAAUAGAAAUUUAAGGUAAUAAUAGGUCUAUAAUGCCCUUAGAUAUUCUAGGCCGUAUAUACGCUAUACUAAUAUAGCUAACGAAUAUUCCUUUAGCCGGAAGGUUCGGGUAAUCUUAUUAAAUUAUAUUAUAUUAGGAAUAAAGUAUUAUAAUUAUUACUCUUCAACGAAGAAUCCCUAAUAAAUAUAAAUUAUCAGCUUAUAUUAAUUACGUCCCUACUCUUUAUAUAUACCGCCCGUUGCUACUACUAAUUAAAUAAUUUAAUAAAGCUUCUAGAUUGGUUUAAGGAGGUCGGUAACAACUACCUAAGGCCGGAAAACUAUUUAAAUUUAGUUAUUUAAAAGAAGUAAAAGUUAUAAUAAAGUCUCUAUUAGUAAACUAGCGGAAGGAUUAUUA
rfam:Neurospora crassa OR74A unplaced genomic scaffold supercont12.8, whole genome shotgun sequence.